CUCCGGGUCCGGGCCCCUCUGGCGGUUCGAGGCGUCGACCGCGAUGUCGGACCCCUUCG
rfam:Methylobacterium tarhaniae strain DSM 25844 contig_313, whole genome shotgun sequence.